GGACUACUAGGGUAUCUAAUCCUGUUUGCUCCCCACGCUUUCGCUCCUCAGCGUCAGUACCGGCCCAGAGCGCCGCCUUCGCCGCUGGUGUUCCUCCUGAUAUCUGCGCAUUUCACCGCUACACCAGGAAUUCCACGCUCCCCUACCGGACUCUAGCCACAGCAGUCUUGGGUGGCGUCUCCAGGUUGAGCCUGGAGGUUUCACACCCAACUUACUGAGCCGCCUACGAGCUCUUUACGCCCAAUAAAUCCGGACAACGCUUGCCCCCUACGUGUUACCGCGGCGGCUGGCAC
rnacentral:rRNA from 1 species